UCCACCUGCAGUCGACGGUGAAGCAGGAGCUUGCUCUUGUGGAUCAGUGGCGAACGGGUGAGUAACACGUGAGCAACCUGCCCCUGACUCUGGGAUAAGCGCUGGAAACGGCGUCUAAUACUGGAUAUGUGACGUGACCGCAUGGUCUGCGUUUGGAAAGAUUUUUCGGUUGGGGAUGGGCUCGCGGCCUAUCAGCUUGUUGGUGAGGUAAUGGCUCACCAAGGCGUCGACGGGUAGCCGGCCUGAGAGGGUGACCGGCCACACUGGGACUGAGACACGGCCCAGACUCCUACGGGAGGCAGCAGUGGGGAAUAUUGCACAAUGGGCGAAAGCCUGAUGCAGCAACGCCGCGUGAGGGAUGACGGCCUUCGGGUUGUAAACCUCUUUUAGCAGGGAAGAAGCGAAAGUGACGGUACCUGCAGAAAAAGCGCCGGCUAACUACGUGCCAGCAGCCGCGGUAAUACGUAGGGCGCAAGCGUUAUCCGGAAUUAUUGGGCGUAAAGAGCUCGUAGGCGGUUUGUCGCGUCUGCUGUGAAAUCCCGAGGCUCAACCUCGGGCCUGCAGUGGGUACGGGCAGACUAGAGUGCGGUAGGGGAGAUUGGAAUUCCUGGUGUAGCGGUGGAAUGCGCAGAUAUCAGGAGGAACACCGAUGGCGAAGGCAGAUCUCUGGGCCGUAACUGACGCUGAGGAGCGAAAGGGUGGGGAGCAAACAGGCUUAGAUACCCUGGUAGUCCACCCCGUAAACGUUGGGAACUAGUUGUGGGGUCCAUUCCACGGAUUCCGUGACGCAGCUAACGCAUUAAGUUCCCCGCCUGGGGAGUACGGCCGCAAGGCUAAAACUCAAAGGAAUUGACGGGGACCCGCACAAGCGGCGGAGCAUGCGGAUUAAUUCGAUGCAACGCGAGAACCUUACCAAGGCUUGACAUAUACGAGAACGGGCCAGAAAU
rnacentral:rRNA from 1 species